CCAGCACGACCUCCACUGAGUUAUUGGAGGCUUGAAUCCAGGAUCCCGCCCCCUGGGCAGCUCUGGCCGCCGCCAGCCCCGCCCCACAGGCGGCACGCUGGGGGCUGGCUCCACCCCGAGAAGGUUCCGCCCCUAGAGGACACCUCCUUCCCCUCCAGCCUCCAGAGGAGGCCCUAGGAGAAGAGGGCGGUCCCUGACGCUAAAAGUGGCGGCUGCGGUGUUGAGUAAGCAGGGCGCAGGGCUGUAAAGGCCUGGCCUGUUUCCCCACCCCCUCCCGCAAGACUCCAACCGCUCUCCUUGUCGUGCUUCAGCGGAUCAAGAAGAUUCUCCCGUGCCUCAUCUCCACGUUCAGUAAGGUUUUGGUUAAUAUCUACCUGUUCCACACUGUGACCUCCAGGAAGCUGGUCCACGUGUCCGCAGGAUUCUGACCCUGGUCAGACACAGAACAACUGUCCAGAUACCAGGAAUGAAGGAUACAUGGCAUUGUUGGGAAUAUGUGUGACUGUGUGAAUGUGCCACGGUGUGGGCAAACCUGUGUAUCAGCGGACAUGACCAUAUGUGGGACAAUAUGCAUGUGAGUUAGUGAGUGUGAUGGGAUGCCACUGAAAAAGAUGCAAUCCUGACGCCAUAUGACAGUGAGACGUGGGGGAAACAGCACACUCUUGGCUGCCCCUGUGCCAAACUGGCUUUUCUUCACCCACCAGAGACGGAGAAACAGACAUAGAGGUACCCUUGGCCACCUGCAUGUGCACACUUGUGUAACUGGCUGCUCUUUGCACUCUCAACCAGUUCUGCUCUCUGCUCCAGUGGCUGAGUCAGCUUGGCAGCCCACAGGAGUGGAAAACUUCAACCCCUGGACCAAGAAAGCAGUCUGGAAGGGUCCCGAGCACCCUGAGUCAGGCUGGGGUCCUUCAGGUCUACACCCACCUGUGUGUCCGAUGGAGUGGAAGCACCUCACGGUAAAAGAUGGGGGAGUUUCCUGGGGUAAGACCAACCAAGACUGUGACAUUGGGGUCUCCCAAGAGCCAGGAAGUUUGCUCAGGGGGGCCAGGCAGUCCCACAUACAAUAGCAGCAUGAACAAUAAUACACCUAGGCCCAGCAGAGCAGCCUUGUACCGGCUCACGCAGGUCUGUACCGCAGUCUGGAGGAGGAGGGAGAAGGAAAAGAAGCAAGGCUGAGCCCCUACAAGGUGUCUGGACCCAUCCCCAAACCCCAACCUGAAGUCCCUACAGAGAAAGAUCUGCAACUCUGGCCCUUCCUUUGCUCUGGACAAAAGACUGGUGGUUCAAUACCCAGCCACUCCAUAUGCCAGGACAAAGGCUCAAAGUGUGAGGAGGUGCAUCCGAGUUGUCCCUCUAGCACACAGCAGGCUCAGUGACCAUCAUCCCUGAUAAUUAAACUUACUUCAAGCUCUUAUGACAGCAGGCUCCUGCUCAGCCCCCCACAACAAGGAGGUCCAUAAAGAACACUAAAGAAGAUAUAAUUACAGGUCUCUUACAAAUGAGGAAAUUCAGGUUUGGAGAGGUGAAUUCUAUUGCUCAAGUAGCCCAAAGCGGGAACUGGGAUUUGAACCCAGGGCUGGACUCCUAACCAUCAGGUCACACUUGGUUUGGAAGAAGGAAAGCAUGGAAAUGGGAGGCAAUGGAUGAACUGAAGCCCCUCUACUGGAUAGAGUGGUGAGGGCUAUCCAAGGAGGAAGACUAUUUGAAGAGACCACCUUCUGAGGGCAGGCUCGGAAAUAGUUCAUUUUAUUACUCUGUAUAUAAUACUGCUAAAAUCAGAAUGUGUUUUAUGGUUGAUGGGAAUAUUUAAUGGCUGACCACAGCUGUUUUGGGGAAGCUCACAGACAAUGUUGGUGAUGGAGGAAAUGCAGAGGCCUGAGCCGGUGUGGGGCCAGGGAGGAGUGUGGUUCACCUAGAAAUGGAAAAGGCAGCUGGAGGUUGGAGAGAUGAAUGUCCCCACCCCCAUAUACAGACACACAUACAGCUUCACACCAAAUGACCUGCUUCAUGGACUCCUCCAGCACAGGGCCUUUGCCAGCCCAGGGACAGAGCCCAAGCAGGUCAGGUAGAGCUGGCUUUAAAACAGGUCUCUGCCAAUUCCUGACCCUGAGUCUUCAGUAUGUCAGUAAAGUGGGAUAAUUCUGGUUGCUCUCUCAAGUCUCCUGUGAGAUUUCAAUAAUACAGGGGACUUAAGGGAAGGUGGGCUCUGUCCCUGUCCUCAUUUCUUGGGCCUAGGAUGAGCACGGCCUGCCUUCUCCUAGGAUUCUAGUAAAUAAUCUUUCUUUUCUUUUCAUAUUUAUUUUUUAGUUGGACACAAUAUAUAUAUUUAUUUA